UUACUGAUCUAUAAGUACCUGGACAUGUCAUUUAUAACACCCUAUUUCUAGUAGUCGUAGUAGCCAUAGUAUAGCUAUUUAACUUAUACUAGUUGUAUAACAUGCAGCCGUUGGUUAGCUGGGUGAAGAUGAUUUGUCUACAGCUAAUAUCUGCAAACAACCUGGACUGCCCGUAGUGCAGUCUAUGUAGUAAAUAGAAACCAAUGCAUAUUGCCGUGUAAAAUUGAACAUGGUUGUGGGACACUGCAGCUUUAAGAGUACCCUUAUGGCCAAGAGUGUGACUGGUACUGCAAGGGGGUGUGUCAUACAGUAUCUAAGCCUACUGAACUGUAUGAGUAAGACGUUAAUACUUUCACUUCCUUCGCAACCCAAAGAAUUGCAGAAUGAGAACAUUUUUUCUGCAUGGCAAAGGCUCAAUUCAGUUACUAUACAUUGGCCUGCAAUUCAUAGUCUAUGGAGGCACACUGAAGCUGACGAGCAGUACCUUCCCAGUGUAUAGCCUGGCUGGAUCAGAUGUUGAGUUAACCUGCACGUUUUCAAGCUCCCUGACUCCUCAGCUGACAGACAUAGCAGUGGAAUGGAAAGCAGACACUCGGGAUGGGCAGAUGAUGGUGUACUCCUUUGAUGGGAGGAAAGAAGUAUACAAUCGAAACGGGUCUGAAGUAAGUCAGAGGAGACUCGUUCUGGGAGAUGCAUCAUUACAUUUAAGAAACGUGACAGUUGGCGACGAGGGACUCUAUACCUGUACAGUCUUGAUAACUCCAGAAAUGGCGUUUGGCACAACUCAGCUGGAUGUGUCAGUCCAGCCGUCCGUAACUUUGCUGCCUGAACUUCCAACCAUUACAGUCGGGGAAGAGAGGACGCUGUUGUGUGAAAUAAACAGGUUUUACCCAAAGCCAAUAGAUGUUGUGUGGUUCAUUAAGAAAGACUUCAACCCAGAGCAAGAAGCUGUCUCGCGAGACGUCUGUACAGGAAUCCCGCUUCCAAAUGGAGAUGAGACAUUCAGUGUUCAAAGCCGUAUCACACUGUGGGCUACUGCUAAAGAAAGCGAUGCUGUGUACACCUGUCAAGUAAGGCAUAAGUCUUACAAAAUGGCUUUCAGAACAAAUACCACAUUAACAGUCAUAGAACCAGAACCUGCUUACAGAAGCCCCACAGUGAUAGCGGGGACUGCUGCCGCUAGUAUCCUUGUCACUGUAGCUGUGCUGGGAGCUGUGUUUAUACAUUUCAAGUAUCUACAGAAAGUUCCUCCCAAGGUCUCUGAAAUUCUAGUCCCUGAAAUGAUAUUCGGGAAUGAGACAGUUACACUGAUCUGCAACAUCAGCGCGUUCAGACCUAAACAAGUCCAAGUGAAGUGGUUACGACUGUCUCACAACCAGUCUCUGCAAGAGAAGGAACACUGCAGCAGCUCAGAACGCAUUCCUUUACAAGAGGAUGGUGAAGAUUUAAGUGACAUGGCUGUGAAUAAACCCUUAAAGCACGGGAGACUGUACAGCACUGUGUCCUGCCUCCGUAUUGUCCCAACACUAGAUGACGAUAACAGAAAAUACCGAUGCAGAGUGCAGCAUGGAAAGAGUAAACCAGUCAUUAAAAGCACAACUCUUAGGGUGAAAGUUCGACCAUCCUAUUGCCAAAUAACUAGUUUGCCUCACAUUCCUGAACCAGGAAAACAAUUGGUUCUGUGCUGUCGAACAGAGCAGUUUUACCCCCGAGCCAUUACUUUGAAGUGGUUCCGAGAUGAGCUCCUGGUGGAGCAGUUCACUCAGUUCGGUCCCUUCCAGGACAGAGGCGGACUCUACAGUGUUUGGAAUCAAAUAGAGCUGACCGUUUCAAAGAACGACCACAAAGUUGUCUACACCUGUCGAGUAUACCAUGAAAGCUUUACUGGCUUUAAGGAACUCUCCUAUCGCAUUAAUCUGCAAGGAAUGCCUCCUGAAGUGUUAUGGAUCACCUCCGACCCCGCACAACCAGAAGUGGGGAAAGAAUGUACAUUAAACUGUCACAUGAAUAACUUCUGCCCUGACACCAUCACUGUAAAAUGGUUGAAAAAUAACCUCCAGGUAGAUAAUGGAGUUUCUAGUUCCCCAUCAAUUCUCGAUACCAACGGACGGUAUUCGCUUUACAGCUUCCUGAAGCUAACUCCGACAAGGGACGAUCACGGCAGUGUGAUCAAGUGUAUCGUUGAACACAGCGCUUUAACUAGCUGUGAAGAGAGAUCAUACAGGCUUCAUCUUGUCAACUGAAGUUGUACUGUAUAAAAAUACCCGCCAUAGCACUGUCAAUCAAUAGUGAGGCCACCAUGGACAGCCGGAACUUGGUGUUUGAAGUCUUGCACAUUGUUCUCCAGAUAAGCAUGACCCAUAUAGCCAUCACUUUAAAGACCUGUAAAACUGUAAAACAUUUGCAUAACAAAUUAAUCAGAUAUAUACAUGCAAAAGUGUUGCUGUAUAUAGCAGGCCUGAUUCAGAACAAACAACUGGAUUAAAACUGUAAAGGAACAUUAGGAACAUUUUGUUUAUCUCUUUAAAAAAAAAAUUACUCUGGAUAAAGAUUGCUAAGUGAUUUCCUGCGCAUGUUUUGUUAUGCUUUUAAGAUCAGAAAUAAGUGCAUUAAUGAGAUACAGCGGGAACUAUUUAUGUUAAUAUUAGGUUCAGAUCCAAAUGCAAAUAUAAUAUAAAUAAUAUAAAACAAGUAUAAUAGAUCUAUCUGACAACCAAAGUUGUAUAUGGUUUUAUAUAAAAACCAUGUAAAAAGCCAUGUCUUUAUUUGUAGUCAUUCAUUAUGGGCAAUUGAAAUGUCAUUUCUGAAAAAUAAAUAUGUCAAAUUAGUUAAAAGGCGGAUCACAUCAUUUGCUUAAAACAGAGUGCAACACAUGUAUUAAGAUUAUACAAGCUGUUUUGUGGUACCAUACUUACUGAAAUUGUUAAUAUAAACUGGAUUUCAAAUUGGGCUUGAUUUGAGUGGUAUUCCAUGUACUGUACCUCUAAGUGGUAAUUGCACUACGCUGUUCAACAUGCUGUUUGCCAGAAGAGGGGGCUAGUGAUCCUUUUCUGUGACAGCAUAGAGUGAGACAGAUAUAAUCAAAGAUCUGCUGGGUGUAAUCCAAGCCUACAACCCAGGGUGCAGUGGUCCUUGUCUAUGUAUGAGGAAAUUUAUAUAUGGAUUAGAACCCCAAUCUGACAUCAAGAACACUGAAGCUGAAAGAAAUCCACACUAUUGGUGUGGGACAUUUUAUAUCCAUUUUACCCCAGUCACAUCCCUUGCUUAUCAGAUAUCUUGGUAUACCCUGGAACAAAUCAUCUCAUAUUUAAGUACAACCACCAUGAAUGUGUUAUUUUAUAACAUACUUUGCCAUGAUACUAAUGUUUGCUUGCUUGGGUGCCUAUUGUUUCCAUGUGUUGUUCUGUACUACAGUGUACUGUCUUAUCCUGGCCACUAUAUUCCUUCAGAGAUAUCAUCUUUCUUGAGUUGACUACAGCACAGGUGAUUAGAUGUUAUCCGGCAAAAGCUGGAAGCUACUGAGGCUACAGGAGAAGAUAAGAACAGAAGGAAAUGUAUGAACGAGAGGAGCCAUUGGCCCAUCAAUGCUCCUCUGGUUCCUAGUAGCUGGUUUAUCUUAAAACUGUGUCAAGUCAGGACUUAAAGGCAAUCCAUGUCAUACCCUCACUGUGUAAAGAACGGUUUACUACCCUCUGUCUUAGAUCUAUCUCCACUUAAUUUCCCGCUGUGUCCCUAGCCCUGGUUUGUCAGCUGCUUUUAUGAUUUGGUAAAGUUCAUUCAAAUGCUCUCCAAUGUUUUUCUUUUGUUUGUUUGUUUUAGUUAAAUUGAUUAAUUGCCUUCAAUAUAAGUGUAUUUAUUUAUAAUGUCAUUAACUCGUGGGUUGUCAGUCAACACACACUUGUGUGAUACAUGUUAUUAGUACAUACUAAAGCUAACCGUAUCUGCUAUGUCUUUCUGUCUGCCCAUCUGUAUUAUCACGAGUGCUUGUCAGAGCACCCUGUUUGAUCUGUCCUGUGUAAGCAGUGCUACAUGUCUUUCCUCAUUAAUCGGAGAGUAAUAUAAUUGAGCACCAAAGUACAAACACUGGGGGGACAAUGACUUAUUGAUGCGUUGAUGUUUAUCAGUUUAUUUAUUUCAGGUCGUUCAGACAAGCUUUUCUUCACCUGUGUGCCCUUCUUUCUACACAGUUGAAGAACGGCUUGUCUAAGUAAACCGCUUUUUUUUUAUUAUUUUUGUACACUGCAGAAGUUUUAAAGCUGUUUCAACAGGUUCCUGUACAGUAUCGAAAAAAUAUUACGACCCCACCUUCAGGGCUCGUACUUGUUUAUGUAAAUCAUCCGAGUCGGUGGGUACUUCACAUUAAUCCCUUUCUGCCUUAAACGAACUGAUAAGGGAGCAAAAGUUGCUCCAAACUUUAUCUGCUGCAGCCGGCAGUAACGCAUGCUCGUUCAGAAUUGACUUCACUAGUUGGAAGUUGCAAGCU